AUUGAACGCUGGCGGCAUGCCUUACACAUGCAAGUCGAACGGCAGCACGGGCUUCGGUCUGGUGGCGAGUGGCGAACGGGUGAGUAAAGCAUCGGAACGUACCCGGAAGUGGGGGAUAACGUAGCGAAAGUUACGCUAAUACCGCAUAUUCUGUGCGCAGGAAAGAGGGGGAUCUUCGGACCUCUUGCUUUCGGAGCGGCCGAUGUCAGAUUAGCUAGUUGGUGGGGUAAAGGCCUACCAAGGCGACGAUCUGUAGCGGGUAUGAGAGGAUGAGCCGCGACACUGGGACUGAGACACGGCGCAGACUCCGACGGGAGGCAGCAGUGGGGGAUUUUGGACAAUGGGCGCAAGCCUGAUCCAGCCAUGCCGCGUGAGUGAAGAAGGCCUUCGGGUUGUAAAGCUCUUUCGGCCGGGAAAAAAUCGCACCAGUUAAUACCUGGUGUGGAUGACGGUACCGGAAUAAGAAGCACCGGCUAACUACGUGCCAGCCGCCGCGGUAAUAC
rnacentral:rRNA from 1 species